ACUCCUGCGGGAGGCAGCAGUGGCGAAUAUUGGACAAUGGGCGCAAGCCUGAUCCAGCCAUGCCGCGUGAGUGAUGAAGGCCCUAGGGUUGUAAAGCUCUUUCACCGGUGAAGAUAAUGACGGUAACCGGAGAAGAAGCCCCGGCUAACUUCGUGCCAGCAGCCGCGGUAAUACGAAGGGGGCUAGCGUUGUUCGGAUUUACUGGGCGUAAAGCGCACGUAGGCGGACUAUUAAGUCAGGGGUGAAAUCCCGGGGCGCAACCCCGGAACUGCCUUUGAUACUGGUAGUCUUGAGUUCGAGAGAGGUGAGUGGAAUUCCGAGUGUAGAGGUGAAAUUCGUAGAUAUUCGGAGGAACACCAGUGGCGAAGGCGGCUCACUGGCUCGAUACUGACGCUGAGGUGCGAAAGCGUGGGGAGCAAACAGGAUUAGAUACCCCUGUAGUCCCA
rnacentral:rRNA from 1 species